GAUGAACGCUGGCUACAGGCCUAACACAUGCAAGUCGAGGGGAAACGACGGGGAAGCUUGCUUCCCCGGGCGUCGACCGGCGCACGGGUGAGUAACGCGUAUCCAACCUGCCUCUGACUGAGGGAUAACCCGUCGAAAGUCGGCCUAAUACCUCAUGGCAUCGUCUGCGGGCAUCCAACGACGAUUAAAGAUUUCAUCGGUCAGAGAUGGGGAUGCGUCUGAUUAGCUUGUUGGCGGGGUAACGGCCCACCAAGGCGACGAUCAGUAGGGGUUCUGAGAGGAAGGUCCCCCACAGUGGAACUGAGACACGGACCAAACUCCUACGGGAGGCAGCAGUGGGGAAUAUUGAUCAAUGGGCGAGAGCCUGAACCAGCCAAGUAGCGUGCAGGAUGACGGCCCUAUGGGUUGUAAACUGCUUUUAUGCGGGGAUAAAGUGAGGGACGUGUCCUUCAUUGCAGGUACCGCAUGAAUAAGGACCGGCUAAUUCCGUG
rnacentral:rRNA from 1 species